CGGUUACAUCCGAACUUAGCCCUUCCUUACUUGUUUAAUUAUGCAUUAAAUGUAGCGGAAGAACUCUCCACUGGGUUAAUCUAUUUAUCAGAGCUUCCGACACAAGUGUGAUAUCUAAUACUUCUUGUUGGUUUCUUGUGAUAAACUCGGCAUACUUCCUCUUUUGCACAACAAAAGCUUAUUUCCUAGCAAGUAAUUAAAGAGACACUUACCUCUAUCAUUGACGUCUGUGCUGCCCCAUAUUGUAUGGUGCGCGUUUGAGUCACAUCCAUCUCUUUUACCAGCUGAGAUUGUACUUGCUGCUCAUCGUAUGGCAUAUAACCUGACACCAGCUGGUAACAACUUCCGGCCGUCUAACUGCUGCUUUGUCAUGGUUGCUAUAACGAUGUAACAUAAAAACUUUAAGGUUUUCCUUUUCCAUUAUACAUGCCCUGGCCUUACCUUCACAAUUUGCCAUAUAUGGUAUUGCUUAUAGUUCGGUGUCCUCAGUCCGCAAAUGCGUCCUCCAUUAACUCUUGGCUCCUGAAUGAGGACAAACUCAGGCUAUUUUAGUGACACGCGGUUAAUUAGAGCUACUGAAGCUAGUUUACUGUGAUGGUUUUAUCUGCGUCUUUCUGUGCAAAGGUUUGAGAGUCCAUCUGCCAGCUCAGACUUCGAAGAACAUUCACCUUGGUUUUUGCACGGACCACGCUUUGCUCCUGUCCUCACGCUGACUGCUCUCGAGCUCGUAACGAACGCGGCUCUCUUCUUGGAACAACUUGGCGGACUGUUACCAGCCCGUCCCUGCCUAGGUCGUAGUACUGUGGUAUAUAUAAUAUUACCAGUCGGCACCCUCGGGUAGGGUUCAGCGGGGGAUUUUUUCAGACCUGAGCAGUAGUUAGGAGCGCCAGUUUUUGCCUGAUAGUGUGGUGUAUAAGUACGAGGUUUAGCUUAUUUAAACAUCCCGAUCCCCUAGGCGAAUGUUUUGCCUAUUAUUACACGUAUAUGCUGUAAAUGUCUUUGAUGCGGGAAUUGGUGCUUGAAUAAAGCAACUUUACUUUGCAUGUUUUUGUGUUCUAAUUUAAUUGGCGGCUGUUUUUAAUUUCUUUAUUAUCGGCAUUUUUAUAAUAGCAACUCAACGCCUGGCUCAAAUAUGGCCAGAAUGGGUGCUCUUUUGAGAAGUAUUUGUGACUUAUUAUUGGAUAAAAUAUAAGUUAACCAUGUAAUUUUUAAUGCCGAUUUAGAAUUUUCUUGAAUUGGCGAAGAUGAAAAUCUAGUGCAGUAUCUUAUUAAACGGUCACUAUCAGAAAUGUAUUUCGGGAUAGAAAAAUCGUUGACUAAUUUUUUGCUUUGUUGCAACCUGUUUUGGGCGUGUAGCUUCUCCAGGUACACUUUGAUUUAUGUCGUCGUUAACAUAAUAUAAAAAUAUUUAUUAAAAUUUGUGUGAAAGUUUAAUAUAAUUUUCUCAGUGUAAACUAAUUUAAAUGCAGCAAUAAAUUAUAAUUAAAUAAGAGUUUUUUUAUUUCAGAUUCGUAUUAAAUUUUUUAAUUUGUAUUUUAUUUUUAGUAUUUGUUGUGAUUGUAGUUUAUUAUUUUCUUAAUUUAAUUGUGCAGAACCACACUUAUAAUUUAUUUCUAAAAAUUUUUUUGUAUGCGUAUGUUAAUACACCCUAAUAUAUGUAUGCUUAUGUUCUUGUGCAAUUGAGAGCUGGUUGAAGAGAUCAAUGCGCUUUGUACAUAAGUAUGCACGAAUUGAAGAACAAGCGGUAUUGCUAAAAAUAUGCCAAUGUGGGCUUUGAAUAACAUAUACAUAAGUACACUUGUAUAUACCAUAUGUAUAUGCGAAUUUUAAGAUUAAUUUUUAAGAAAUUAUUUUAAGAAUUAAUAGGGCUUUGUUAAUUCGUAAGUCGUUAUUCGGUAGUUUUUUACGUGCAUUCUGUUCUUGUAAAAUUAACGGACUAUUUGUUCCACUGAGUAACGAAGUACCAGCCUGGCAAGCUUGAUAAUUUUUCUGUUACUUAGUAACACCAAAUCCGGUGUUGUUUUUGCGUCGUUAUCUAAAAAGUUCUCGCUGCAAAAUAAUUUGGACACAUUUUUCAAAAAUAAGUAUUUACAAAAAUUGAAUCAGCUGUUUUGUAACAAAAUGUACCACACUACUGAAAUAGAGCAAAAAGUAUGUUUACAGUUAAGUGUUCGGUCGCGUGAUGCCAGGAAAGAUUAAACGCCUGUGCCCGAUGUUGUAUGUUUUGUAGCGUAAACAGCAAUUUAGCAAAUAGUCAAAACAUAAUUUGGACAAAACAUGGACAAUAGUAAUUGAUACAUACGUAUGUAGUAUGUAUAUGUAUGGUUAAUGUUGAAAAUCUGGCAACCACGGAUAGCACGUAUCAUAUGAUUAUUCCCCUUUACAACAACAACAUUUUUCAGUUACGUACAUCUUUGAACUUUGUAACAAAAAUCUGUAAUUCAUGUUUUUAGUUUAUUAAAAACUGUUGAAGUGAUCGAACUCGGGACUUUUAUUUAUUCCGGCUAACUGUGCAAAGUAAGCAGUUAAUAUUAUAUUUUAAUGAUAAUUGAUAGCAUGUGCAAAUAUCAAUGCUCAUAUUUAGUUAUUGACUUGUAGAAAAAAGUAGAAAUGUAUCAAUCAUACUUCACCUAAAUUUUUGUCAUCCUCAUAAAAUUUAUAAACGGUUCAAGAGCUCAAACAGGCUAUGUCAGUUCGAUCAAACCUACCCGAUGCCAUUUCGAGAAAUGAUAGCAAAUACCCACAUAAAAAUAUUGCCAACCUCCUCAAUGGCAAUGUAUUUGACAGAUGGUUGGAAAUGUAUAUUGCCUUUCAAGAUACGGCGUAACAGUCAAAGAGACACCGGCAGCAGGGAUAAAAGGAUGCCCAACUUAUUCCAGUGCGAGAUCUCCUCAAAUGUUGCGUUUUUUAUAACAUUUUGCAUUAUAGCCAGGUCAAUAUAAUAAUUUCUGUGCAUUUCAAUUCAAACACCCAACAUGUAUUAAAAUUAUAAAUUAUUAUAUAUACUUAUAUCCGUAUGACACAUGGAGAAAAUAUUUAAAUAAUUUUUGGUGAUUUUGUGAUGACAUACUUCUCUUCAUUUCUGACGGCAGCUAGCGCCUUACGGCGUAACAGUAAAAUAAAGCUGUAACUUGUAACAGUUUGGUAUAUUAAAAUUUUGAAUGCUGUUUUUUUAUAUUAUUAUUAUAGUUUUUGUACUAAUAAACUAUAAUCUUUAACAUACAUAAAUGUAUCAUAAACAGGGACGGACACGACCCUCACAAAAUGACAUUGUGUUAGUGAUUAUACUGUGUGACAAAGCGAAUGAACGAUCAAAAAUAAUCAAUCUACUUGCAGAAGUCGAAUGAGCGGGUCUAGUAAUAUUAUUUCAGGUUAAGUGGCAAUUAUAUUAUAAUUGAACAGUUUGAUGUUUUAAUAUUAAGUGUGUUGCCCUUGCUAAAUAAAAAGAGAAUACAAUGCAUGCUGCACACAGGCAGCGAAUAUGUAUAAAGAAUAAGCGUGGAUAGACAGGCUAGCAUUGGAUCUAAUUAUGUUUUUUUAGUCUCCAUUGACAAUAUUGCUAGCAAUACAAAUCUUUAUCAAUCUUAAAUUGCCUGUCGAGAGGUAUGGUCAGGGGUAUUGUCGGAAAAUAUUGCAUAUAUUAGGUUAAGUUCUCGCUUUUUUUUUUUGUUUAUGAAAAUGAAAUAUUGCUAGCUACAAAGAUCGAAUACCAUUACGGUAAAACUGAGCAUCUUGUGAUGCUAUUCAAGAAUCAAACCAUUUUUCGAUGUUGUUUUGUGAGUGGACAUAAUAAUCGAACGGUGCAAUAUAUGGGGGAAUAUGGCGGGUGAGACUUCCCAUUUAAGCGUUUCCAGGUAGGUUUUAACGGAUUUGGCAACGUGAGUUCGAGCGUUGUCAUGCAGCAUAAUCACUUUUUUUCCCAGUGCAUGUAGUCGCUUUGCAAUGGCUUGACGUUUCAAAUGGCGGUUAUUUGUAAAAAAAAGAAAUCGGAGAUAUUUGCACAACCAAAAGUAUAUCACACAUAAACAAAGUCACUAUUGUGGAAACGCAGUUUCAUUUUCAAAUGUCUAGGUUAAGUUUAUCACGUUUAGGAUAUGUCAAAAUCGACCAUCACUAACUGCUGGAACCAUCUAUUGACAAACAGCGGGAACUUAGUUGCGCACAUGAUCCUGUCAGGAAUUAUGCUGACAACGCGGACGAACCUUUUUUUCGAGGGGUCACCGAAAAUGACUUUACAAUUGUGAAGUUUUAAUUUUUUUCUUUUGAAAAUCUCAGAAAUUAUUCUUUAAAUGUGUAUCUUUAAGACAGAAAAAAGUUUGAAUUAAAUAAAUAAUUUUUUAUUUAGAAACAAAAAUUAUUGAAAAUAGGCCUUUUUUUACCCGACGAAACCCAUUUAACCCCUUAAAUAAAUGCGGCAGUGGCAAAUUACUGUCAAAAAUUUCUCAUGCCCAUAGUUUUGUAUGCCGCAUACCUUAAUGACGUGGCGGCAACGCUGAGCGGUUGAAAAAUUCCAAUUUGACAGCUCGUAAAGACGUAAAGUUGGCUGCAGAAAACGAAGAAAAUGUAAUUUUGCUAAAAAAUUUCUUGACGCGCGUUGUUAAAUGCUUGUACAAAUUUAUGUAAGUAUUAUUAAUAAAUUAAUUGGUUUUGCAUUUCAUUUCUUGUGUACUAAUUUCAGAAUUCUGGUGAGAAUUUGACCUAAAAUUCUCGCUUUUGGUAUUUAGGGAUGUCAUGUCGGCAUUUGGCUAGGUAUGCCAGUUAGUGACUUUGCCCAUCCCUGAUCAUGAAUUAAAAGAAAAGAAAGCGAUACGACUAACUUAUAUAUUAUAUGUACGUGUGUGUCGGCGGGUAUUCGGGCCUUUGUUCUCAAUUCCCAAUUCUAGUUAGUUGUGCCUGGUUUUAGGGAGUUUUUUUUUUAUUCUAGUUUGUUUUAAUUUGGAUCUUGUUUAAGUGGUAGGUAUUUAUGUAUGUUUUACUGCUGGGUUACGCGCCCGGUUGUAAAGUUUUUUGUUACUUGAAAAUGUUUUGUUUGUUUGCACUGUAUAUUUAUUAUUUUCACCGAACUUAUAUUUCUUAUUAGAAAUGCGUAUGCAUAUAAUGGGGCUUACACAAUUAUAACUUAUUGUCACCUCUUUUUUGUUUUUUUUUGCAAAUUUUGUUGCAAUUUAUAUUUUCUGCAUGCUACUCUACUGUUUCUUUUAAUUUUAGUAUAUUGCGGUAUUCAUUUUGUUUUUGUUAUGCAUGUAUGUUUUUUUUUUUGUUAGCUGCACAUUUUACAUACAUAUAUGUAUCAAAUAUACAUACUUUUCUUGGUGUACUUUGUUGCCGCACUACGCUUCCCGGAAAGGCAGUCGAUCGCCUUAUAUGGUGCCAAAGUUAUCUCAGUUACGAGACAAAGGCGAGGGUUGACGCUUCAGAGUCGACCAACGCAUGUAAGGAGUUAUCUCAACUAACACCUACCAAACCGGCUUAGUGUUGCCGGGAGGGGAAUGUUCUCCGAGGCCUGCCAGAGUUUUAGUGGGACGGAAACAGCCUUGAUAUUAACCCAUCAGCAAGGUGUCACCUCUGUGUACUCAGGUGACAGAACACCUAGACCGCCAGUCUAGGGUUCAAAACUAUCAAACUAAUAGUCAAACGUUCCAAAACCACAAUAAGUAAUGAUGACAAACUACAAGUUUGUUGGAGCCAAUGACCCAAUUGCACUAAUAAUUUCGAUUUUGUCAGAAUGACUACAAAUGCAUUUUUGGCAACGUAAAAACAAAGUGUCAGCAACCCGUAUUUCCUAAUAUCGUUGUAUAUAUCCCAAUAUUGUAGAAUAUAAGCGAAUAAUUGUAAUAACGAAACGGGCGAAUGUAAAAUAAAGUAUAACCAUUAACAACAAACGACUAAUUGUUUUAUUAUUUUUGGUUCACGCCGGUACAUUCGACUUAAUUGGCGUAGUCGGUUAAAAAAUAAUCUAUCUAAAGAUACAUAAGAAAGGACAAUAACCGAAGGUAAAUAUACCCUAAUAUAUACAAAAGGACUACAAUCUAAAUUUAGUCCGAGUGAAAAAUCAUAAGAAAGGACAAUAACCGAAGUUAUGUCCAGUGCGGAAAAUAUAUCCUAAGAUAUACAAAAGGACUACAAUCAAAAUUUAGUCCAAGUGAAAAAACAUAAGAAAGAACAAUAACCGAAGUUGUGUCCUA